rnacentral:rRNA from 1 species
AGUAGACCGUCCGGACUUUUGAGACUUAGAGAAAAUUUUUCUGGCAAAAAAAAAAAAAAAAGUAUCAGGGGGGUAAAAAUGCAUAUUUAAGAAGGGGAAACAUCUCCGGAUAAAAAAUAAAAUAUCAGUUCGAUCUGAACAUCAGUAAGAUGUCCUUUUGGGAAACCAAGGAUGACGAUAAUGAAGUUCUAACUGAACAGUAUUUUUCUCUAUGGCUUCUGCGUUAAGCUGAAUGCCUCUGAGUGUCUGGUGAACCUUUAACUGGAUUACGGCUCGUAUUAGUGCAAAUGGCCUGACUGAAAUUUUCAUGAUGGCUGUGACGUCGUUCGCUGCAAAGGAUUCGCAAGAAACCUUUCCCAGUGAGAGUUGUUGUAUCGAUAUCUUUGCAGAUAUUGUUACAAAUAACAGCGACACGCUAGUACUGUUAUAAAUCGGUGAAAUCGCUGAUAUUAUUAACAGCUAGCAACAAAGUUGACUUGAGUCCGAAGAGAUGCGAUUGAGUUUUUCUCAUUGUACCUUCGAAGAUUCUUGCAACUAGAAGAAACAGAUAGUAAACGAAACGUAGCGGGAUCUAUGUGUAAAGCUU